GUCUACAGCCAGGCUGCCCUGAACAAGCCCGGGCCGUCUGGUGUGAUCUCAGAAGCUAAGCAGGGUCGGGCCUGGUUAGUACUUGGACGGGGGACCACCUAGGAAGACCAGGUGCUGUAGGUG
rnacentral:rRNA from 1 species